CAGCCGCCACGGUAAUACGGAGGGUGCAAGCGUUAUCCGGAUUUAUUGGGUUUAAAGGGUCCGUAGGCGGACUUAUAAGUCAGUGGUGAAAGCCUGUCGCUUAACGAUAGAACUGCCAUUGAUACUGUAAGUCUUGAGUAUAUUUGAGGUAGCUGGAAUAAGUAGUGUAGCGGUGAAAUGCAUAGAUAUUACUUAGAACACCAAUUGCGAAGGCAGGUUACCAAGAUAUAACUGACGCUGAGGGACGAAAGCGUGGGUAGCGAACAGGAUUAGAGACCCCGGUAGUCCCUGUCUCUUAUAU
rnacentral:rRNA from 1 species